UAAUACGAAGGGGGCUAGCGUUGUUCGGAAUUACUGGGCGUAAAGCGCGCGUAGGCGGCGACCUUUGUCAGAGGUGAAAUCCCGAGGCUCAACUUCGGAAUUGCCUUUGAAACGGGGUUGCUUGAGUCCGAGAGAGGAUGGCGGAAUUCCUAGUGUAGAGGUGAAAUUCGUAGAUAUUAGGAAGAACACCGGUGGCGAAGGCGGCCAUCUGGCUCGGUACUGACGCUCAGGCGCGAAAGCGUGGGGAUCAAACAGGAUUAGAUACCCUGGUAGUCCACGCUGUAAACGAUGAGUGCUAGUUGUUGGGAAGUUUACUUCUCAGUGACGCAGCUAACGCGUUAAGCACUCCGCCUGGGGAGUACGGCCGCAAGGUUA
rnacentral:rRNA from 1 species